GAUGAAGAACGCAGCGAAAUGCGAUACUUGGUGUGAAUUGCAGAAUCCCGUGAACCAUCGAGUCUUUGAACGCAAGUUGCGCCCGAAGCCAUUAGGCCGAGGGCACGCCUGCCUGGGCGUCACACGUCGUUGCCCCCCCCAUCUACUCCUUCGGGAUUGCGGGGGGCGGAUGAUGGCCUCCCGUGCGCCUCGCCGCGCGGUUGGCAUAAAUGCCAAGUCCUCGGCGACGCACGCCACGACAAUCGGUGGUUGCGAAACCUCGGUUGCCCGUCGUGUGCGGUCGUCGCGCAUCGAGGGCUCGAAAAAAUUGCCGAGUUCCGGCUCGGCUUUCAACGCGACCCCAGGUCAGGCGGGGUUACCCGCUGAAUUUAAGCAUAUCAUUAAGCGGAGGA
rnacentral:misc_RNA from 1 species